rnacentral:rRNA from 1 species
UGAGUAACACGUAUCCAACCUGCCGUCUACUCUUGGACAGCCUUCUGAAAGGAAGAUUAAUACAAGAUGGCAUCAUGAGUCCGCAUGUUCACAUGAUUAAAGGUAUUCCGGUAGACGAUGGGGAUGCGUUCCAUUAGAUAGUAGGUGGGGUAACGGCCCACCUAGUCUUCGAUGGAUAGGGGUUCUGAGAGGAAGGUCCCCCACAUUGGAACUGAGACACGGUCCAA